AUUGAACGCUGGCGGCAUGCUUUACACAUGCAAGUCGGACGGCAGCACAGAGAAGCUUGCUUCUUGGGUGGCGAGUGGCGAACGGGUGAGUAAUAUAUCGGAACGUACCGAGUAAUGGGGGAUAACUAAUCGAAAGAUUAGCUAAUACCGCAUAUUCUCUGAGGAGGAAAGCAGGGGACCUUCGGGCCUUGCGUUAUUCGAGCGGCCGAUAUCUGAUUAGCUAGUUGGUGGGGUAAAGGCCUACCAAGGCGACGAUCAGGAGCGGGUCUGAGAGGAUGAUCCGCCACACUGGGACUGAGACACGGCCCAGACUCCUACGGGAGGCAGCAGUGGGGAAUUUUGGACAAUGGGCGCAAGCGUAAUCCAGCAAUGCCGCGUGUCUGAAGAAGGACUUCGGGUUGUAAAGGACUUUUGUCAGGGAAGAAAAGGAUGUUGCUAAUAUCAAUAGCUGAUGACGGUACCUGAAGAAUAAGCACCGGCUAACUACGUG
rnacentral:rRNA from 1 species